rnacentral:rRNA from 1 species
UACGGAGGGAGCUAGCGUUGUUCGGAAUUACUGGGCGUAAAGCGCACGUAGGCGGCUAUUCAAGUCGGGGGUGAAAUCCCCAGGCUUAACCUGGGAACUGCAUUCGAGACUGCAUUGCUAGAGUAUGGGAGAGGGAAGUGGAAUUUCCGGUGUAGCGGUGAAAUGCGUAGAUAUCGGAAGGAACAUCAGUGGCGAAAGCGACUUCCUGGACCAAUACUGACGCUCAUGUGCGAAAGCGUGGGGAGCAAACAGG